rnacentral:rRNA from 1 species
GAGUAGUAUCUGUUAAGAUCAUGAAACUCAAAAAAUUUGGCGGUAUUUUAUCUAAUUAGAGGAACCUGUUUAUUAAUUGAUACUCCACAACUUAAAUUUACUUUUAUUAAAUUAUUUGUAUACCGUUGUCAUGAGUCUACUCAAAAGUAAUUUUCAGAAUUUUUUAUAGAAUUUAUGUUAGAUCAAGGUGCAGUUAUGUAAAAGAAAAAAAUGGGUUACAUUAGUAACUAUGAAUGGAAAUUAUUGUUAGAAAAUAAUAAAAAAAGGAUUUAAAAGUAAAUAAGUAAAUAAAGAUUUUUUAUGAAUAUUAGAUUCUAAAAUAUG